rnacentral:rRNA from 1 species
UGGUCAAGCGAAUAAGUGCACAGGGUGGAUGCCUAGGCACGGACCGGCGAUGAAGGACGUGGCAAGCUGCGAAAAGCCUCGGUCAGCUGCAAGCAAGCUUUGACCCGGGGAUGUCCGAAUGGGGAAACCCGGCGGGAGCAAUCCCGUCACUCUACGGAGAGCCAACCCAGGGAACUGAAACAUCUAAGUACCUGGAGGAAAAGAAAUCAAUUGAGAUUCCCGGAGUAGCGGCGAGCGAAAUGGGAAUAGCCCAAACCCGGGUGGGGUGACUCACCUGGGGGUUGUGGGGCCAUGGCAAGGCGAGCAGAAGCAUAGCGGAACCGUACUGGAACGUACGACCGGAGAGGGUGAGAGUCCCGUAUGCGAAAUGCGAGUAUGCAAGCUGUCAUGGUACCCGAGUAGGCCGGGACACGUGAAACCCUGGCUGAAUCUGGGAGGACCAUCUUCCAAGGCUAAAUACGAGUCCGUGACCGAUAGUGGAGAGUACCGUGAGGGAAAGGUGAAAAGAACGCCUGACGGCGAGUGAAAUAGACCCUGAAACCGUGUGCAUACAAGCGGUCGGAGCCUGACGUAUUUCCUCGGAAGUGCGGGUGGGUGACGGCGUGCCUUUUGCAUUAUGAUCCGGCGAGUUACUCCUCAUGUGCGAGGUUAAGGGCCUCUGGUCCGGAGCCGCAGCGAAAGCGAGUCUGAACAGGGCGAUGAGUGCAUGGGGGUAGACCCGAAACCGACGCGAUCUAUCCAUGGCCAGGGUGAAGCUGGGGUAACACCCGGUGGAGGCCCGAACCGUUGUGGGUUGAAAACUGCUCGGAUGAGCUGUGGAUAGGGGUGAAAGGCCAAUCAAGCUCGGAGAUAGCUGGUUCUCCCCGAAAUAUAUUUUGGUAUAGCCUCAGGGAAUUGUCUCUGGGAGGUAGAGCACUGAAUGGGCUAGGGGCCUUACCCGGUUACCAACCCCAAUCAAACUCCGAAUGCCCUUUGAGAUGUAUCCUGGGAGUCAGUGGGCGGGCGAUAAUGUCCGUCCGCGAGAGGGAAAGAGCCCAGACCGUCAGCUAAGGCCCCCAAGUCUGUGCUAAGUGAGAAAGGAUGUGGAUACGCAGAGACAACUAGGAGGUUGGCUUAGAAGCAGCCAUGCCUUUAAAGAGUGCGUAAUAGCUCACUAGUCAAGUGAAUCUGCGCCGAUAAUGGUCGGGACUAAAGCACAGCGCCGAAGCUACGGAUGGCGACUUUGUCGCCAUGGUAGGGGAGCAUUCCCUGGACAGCGAAGCACAUCCGUGAGGACUUGUGUGGAGUGCAGGGAAGAGAGUAUGCCGGAAUGAGUACGCGAUAAACAGGGUGAGAAUCCCUGUCACCGAAAGCCUAAGGGUUCCGGAGCCAGGCUUAUCCGCUCCGGGUUAGUCGGUCCCUAAGCCGAGGCCGAAGGGCGUAGGCGAUGGGAAACAGGUUAAUAUUCCUGUACCGUGUAUGCUGCGUUUGACCAUGAGGGGGGACGCGGGAGUGAAAGGACCGUCGGGUGGUGGAUUCCGAUGUAAGGUGGUAGGCGAUGAGGGGGGUUAAAAGACUCCUUUAGCCGAGCGCCGAUGCCGAAGGGGCGAAAUGCCGCCCCGCAAAGGGUCCGUAAUCAUGCCGCCAAGAAAAGCCUCGCAUGGGAGGAGCAUAUGCGACCGUACCGUAAACGGACACACGUAGGCGAGGCGAGAAGCCUAAGGUGCUCGAGUGAUCCACGGAGAAGGAACUCG